rnacentral:misc_RNA from 1 species
GAUGAAGAACGUAGCAAAAUGCGAUAAGUAAUGUGAAUUGCAGAAUUCAGUGAAUCAUCGAAUCUUUGAACGCAUCUUGCGCUCCUUGGUAUUCCUUGGAGCAUGCCUGUUUGAGUAUCAUGAGCAAAUCUCAAAGUCAAUUCCUUUUGUUAAUUCAAUUGGUUUUGCUUUGGACUUGGAGGUCUUGCAGAUUUCACAGUCUGCUCCUCUUAAAUGCAUUAGCUGGAUCUCAGUAAUUAUGCUUGGUUCCACUCGGCGUGAUAAGUAUCACUCGCUGAGGACACUGUUAAAAAGGUGGCCAGGAAAAUACUGAUUGAACCGCUUCUAACGGUCUAUUAAGUUAGACAAUUGACCCCUUAAGUUUGAUCUCAAAUCAGGUAGGACUACCCGCUGAACUUAAGCAUAUCAAUAAGCGGAGGA